rnacentral:rRNA from 1 species
AUUGAACGCUGGCGGCAGGCCUAACACAUGCAAGUCGAGCGGAUGAAGGGAGCUUGCUCCUGGAUUCAGCGGCGGACGGGUGAGUAAUGCCUAGGAAUCUGCCUGGCAGUGGGGGAUAACGUCCGGAAACGGGCGCUAAUACCGCAUACGUCCUGAGGGAGAAAGUGGGGGUUCUUCGGACCUCACGCUAUCAGAUGAGCCUAGGUCGGAUUAGCUAGUUGGUGGGGUAAAGGCCUACCAAGGCGACGAUCCGUAACUGGUCUGAGAGGAUGAUCAGUCACACUGGAACUGAGACACGGUCCAGACUCCUACGGGAGGCAGCAGUGGGGAAUAUUGGACAAUGGGCGAAAGCCUGAUCCAGCCAUGCCGCGUGUGUGAAGAAGGUCUUCGGAUUGUAAAGCACUUUAAGUUGGGAGGAAGGGCAGUAAGUUAAUACCUUGCUGUUUUGACGUUACCAACAGAAUAAGCACCGGCUAACUUCGUG